rnacentral:rRNA from 1 species
UACGUAGGGUGCAAGCGUUGAUCGGAAUUACUGGGCGUAAAGCGUGCGCAGGCGGUUAUAUAAGACAGUUGUGAAAUCCCCGGGCUCAACCUGGGAACUGCAUCUGUGACUGUAUAGCUAGAGUACGGUAGAGGGGGAUGGAAUUCCGCGUGUAGCAGUGAAAUGCGUAGAUAUGCGGAGGAACACCGAUGGCGAAGGCAAUCCCCUGGACCUGUACUGACGCUCAUGCACGAAAGCGUGGGGAGCAAACAGG